UACGGGGGGGGGCAAGCGUUGUUCGGAAUUACUGGGCGUAAAGGGCUCGUAGGCGGCCAACUAAGUCAGACGUGAAAUCCCUCGGCUUGACCGGGGAACUGCGUCUGAUACUGGUUGGCUUGAAUCCGGGAGAGGGAUGUGGAAUUCCAGGUGUAGCGGUGAAAUGCAUAGAUACCAUAAAGAACACCUAUUGCGAAGGCAGCUUACUAAGCUGUAACUGACGCUGAGGCACGAAAGCGUGGGGAGCGAACAGG
rnacentral:rRNA from 1 species